UACGUAGGGUGCAAGCGUUGUCCGGAAUUAUUGGGCGUAAAGAGCUCGUAGGCGGUCUGUUGCGUCGGCUGUGAAAACCCGGGGCUCAACCCCGGGCCUGCAGCCGAUACGGGCAGACUAGAGUUCGGCAGGGGAGACUGGAAUUCCUGGUGUAGCGGUGGAAUGCGCAGAUAUCAGGAGGAACACCGAUGGCGAAGGCAGAUCUCUGGGCCGUAACUGACGCUGAGGAGCGAAAGCAUGGGGAGCGAACAGG
rnacentral:rRNA from 1 species